rnacentral:lncRNA from 1 species
GCCAAUAAAGACAUACCUGAGACUGGGUAAUUAUAAAGGGAAGAGGUUUAAUGGAUUCACAAUUCCACGUGGCUGGGAAGGCCUCACAAUCAUGGCGGAAGGUGAAAGUUACAUCUUACAUUGCAGCGGGCAAGAAAGUUGAAUAAGAUUUUACUUACUGAAGGGAGCCCAGACUAUGUGAAUUUCCAGGUAGUUUGGCAUUUUCAGGGGGAAAAAAAAGAGAUAGAAAGAAGCAUUAUUCACAUAUAUUUUAUGAGUAUAGACUGUAUAUUCAUAGAAGAACUAUGCUUUUUCAAAAAACUUAAGUCAUUGUGUGCUUAAAGGCUUAGAUGUGUUACAUGGAACCAUGCCUCUCAGCUGUCUCUGUCUGCCCACCUGGGAGUCUUCACAUCCAAACUUGAGAUUCUGAAUGAAGCCGACACGAGGCUCCUGCGCUGGCUUCUGCAGUUUCAACGUGCGCUGCCAUUUCUCCAAAGGAAUCCCUCCACCAGAGGCUCUCCAACCCGGAAUGGUCUCCGGAAACUAGCGCCCACUUCACUGAGGCCCAAACUGUGUCCUUUAGGGGAAGGCGAUUACCCCAAGUGCACUCAGCUGGCAGGUGACAGAGCAGGAAUAAUAACUAUGAUCUUUCCUUUAGCAAUGCUAAUGCCACGCCAGCCAGAGCGCCUGGGUUGCCAGAUGCCUGUCCAUUAGGUCAGUAAUAGAACUCCAUCCUUCACAGACAGAUGCGGACAGACUGUUCUCCUGCCUUUUAGUAGACCCCAUGGAUAGAGAGAAAAAAGGGAGAAAUAAAAAUGAAUCAUUUCCCACAGUUGACUAUAGUCUGUAGAGCUCUUCUAUAUUAAUUUGUAAAAUAAUUUUCCUCCAUCUCACAACUAAAUGGAAUUAAGUGGAACGAAGGAUAUAAACCUCCUAAAAUGACCGCUGGUACAUAGCAGGCAUGCAUAUGCACACCACACACACACAUCAUACACUCACAACACACAUAACACAUGAACACACACACAUGCAAACAUACACAACACACACAGAACAUACACAUACAACACAUGCAGACACACAAGACACACCCAUAACACACAGCAUAUGCACACACAUUAAUCAUACACACCACAAUAUACAUAACAUACACCCAAAACCCACAAGACACACACAUACACACAUAAACAUACACACCACACACAGAAUACACAAUACAACACAUGCACACACAACACACACCCACAACACACAGCAUAUGCACACACAUAAACCAUACACACCACACAUAUACAUAACACACACCUAAAACACACAUGACACACACAUACACACAUAAACAGACACACCACACAAAGAACACAAAACACAUGCACACACACAACACACACCCACAACACAUAACAUAUGCACACACAUAAACCACACACACCACACAUGUACACAACAUACACCCAAAACACACAUGACACAAACAUACACACAUAGCCCUACACACCACACAUAGAACAUACAAUACAACAUGUGCACUCACACAAAAUGCACCCACAACACAUAUGUGCACACACAUAAAUCAUACACUCCACACAUACACACAACAUACAUGCAAAACACAAGACACAUGCAUACACGUACAUAAACAUACGUACACAACAUACACACCAUGCACAACAUGCACAUUACACACACAACAUAUACUCACAACACACAGUACAUAUGCAUAAACACAACACACAGGGGCCACACACACAUAACAUAUACCUACAGCACACA